UCAUGGUUAAGUGGGAAACGAUGUGGGAAGGCCCAGACAGCCAGGAUGUUGGCUUAGAAGCAGCCAUCAUUUAAAGAAAGCGUAAUAGCUCACUGGUCGAGUCGGCCUGCGCGGAAGAUGUAACGGGGCUAAACCAUGCACCGAAGCUGCGGCAGCGACGCUGAUGCGUUGUUGGGUAGGGGAGCGUUCUGUAAGCCUGUGAAGGUGUGCUGUGAGGCAUGCUGGAGGUAUCAGAAGUGCGAAUGCUGACAUAAGUAACGAUAAAGCGGGUGAAAAGCCCGCUCGCCGGAAGACCAAGGGUUCCUGUCCAACGUUAAUCGGGGCAGGGUGAGUCGACCCCUAAGGCGAGGCCGAAAGGCGUAGUCGAUGGGAAACAGGUUAAUAUUCCUGUACUUGGUGUUACUGCGAAGGGGGGACGGAGAAGGCUAUGUUGGCCGGGCGACGGUUGUCCCGGUUUAAGCGUGUAGGCUGGUUUUCCAGGCAAAUCCGGAAAACUAAGGCUGAGGCGUGAUGACGAGGCACUACGGUGCUGAAGCAACAAAUGCCCUGCUUCCAGGAAAAGCCUCUAAGCAUCAGGUAACAUCAAAUCGUACCCCAAACCGACACAGGUGGUCAGGUAGAGAAUACCAAGGCGCUUGAGAGAACUCGGGUGAAGGAACUAGGCAAAAUGGUGCCGUAACUUCGGGAGAAGGCACGCUGAUAUGUAGGUGAAGUCCCUCGCGGAUGGAGCUGAAAUCAGUCGAAGAUACCAGCUGGCUGCAACUGUUUAUUAAAAACACAGCACUGUGCAAACACGAAAGUGGACGUAUACGGUGUGACGCCUGCCCGGUGCCGGAAGGUUAAUUGAUGGGGUCAGCGCAAGCGAAGCUCUUGAUCGAAGCCCCGGUAAACGGCGGCCGUAACUAUAACGGUCCUAAGGUAGCGAAAUUCCUUGUCGGGUAAGUUCCGACCUGCACGAAUGGCGUAAUGAUGGCCAGGCUGUCUCCACCCGAGACUCAGUGAAAUUGAACUCGCUGUGAAGAUGCAGUGUACCCGCGGCAAGACGGAAAGACCCCGUGAACCUUUACUAUAGCUUGACACUGAACAUUGAGCCUUGAUGUGUAGGAUAGGUGGGAGGCUUUGAAGUGUGGACGCCAGUCUGCAUGGAGCCGACCUUGAAAUACCACCCUUUAAUGUUUGAUGUUCUAACGUUGACCCGUAAUCCGGGUUGCGGACAGUGUCUGGUGGGUAGUUUGACUGGGGCGGUCUCCUCCUAAAGAGUAACGGAGGAGCACGAAGGUUGGCUAAUCCUGGUCGGACAUCAGGAGGUUAGUGCAAUGGCAUAAGCCAGCUUGACUGCGAGCGUGACGGCGCGAGCAGGUGCGAAAGCAGGUCAUAGUGAUCCGGUGGUUCUGAAUGGAAGGGCCAUCGCUCAACGGAUAAAAGGUACUCCGGGGAUAACAGGCUGAUACCGCCCAAGAGUUCAUAUCGACGGCGGUGUUUGGCACCUCGAUGUCGGCUCAUCACAUCCUGGGGCUGAAGUAGGUCCCAAGGGUAUGGCUGUUCGCCAUUUAAAGUGGUACGCGAGCUGGGUUUAGAACGUCGUGAGACAGUUCGGUCCCUAUCUGCCGUGGGCGCUGGAGAACUGAGGGGGGCUGCUCCUAGUACGAGAGGACCGGAGUGGACGCAUCACUGGUGUUCGGGUUGUCAUGCCAAUGGCACUGCCCGGUAGCUAAAUGCGGAAGAGAUAAGUGCUGAAAGCAUCUAAGCACGAAACUUGCCCCGAGAUGAGUUCUCCCUGACUCCUUGAGAGUCCUGAAGGAACGUUGAAG
rnacentral:rRNA from 1 species